rnacentral:rRNA from 1 species
CCUACGGGAGGCAGCAGUGGGGAAUAUUGCACAAUGGGGGGAACCCUGAUGCAGCGACGCCGCGUGAGUGAUGAAGUAUCUCGGUACGUAAAGCUCUAUCAGCAGGGAAGAAAAUGACGGUACCUGACUAAGAAGCCACGGCUAACUACGUGCCAGCAGCCGCGGUAAUACGUAGGGGGCAAGCGUUAUCCGGAUUUACUGGGUGUAAAGGGAGCGUAGGCGGCACUGCAAGUCCGGAGUGAAAGCCCAAGGCUUAACCAUGGGACUGCUCUGGAAACUGUGGAGCUUGAGUGCGGGAGGGGCAGGCGGAAUUCGUAGUGUAGCGGUGAAAUGCGUAGAUAUCGCGCAGAACUCCGAUUGCGAAGGCAGCGUACCGGCGCCGGACUGACGCUGAGGCACGAAAGCGUGGGUAUCGAACAGGAUUAGAUACCCGUGUAGUC